GCCUAGAACCAAGUCUGGCUGAUCUAGUGUUUCACUAGGGUUUAUCAAGACACAUUGCUCUAAGUUUCAGCUUUACAAACACAUUUUUAUUUGUUUAUAUUUCUGCAGAUUAAGAGCUGGAAAUGUGCAUUUCAACUACAAGUAUUACAAAAAUACUAUGCAAAAGACUGAAGUCACUGAAGAUUUUGCUUGCCCCUUUUGCUUCGUAAAGUGUGGAAGCUACAAGUUUUUAUGGACUUUUUCUCAAGGGGGUGUCACCUGAACUCAUCACAUGACCUAUUCCACUUUGAGUUUUGGAUAUCUGAAGAACGCCAGGCUGUUGAUGUUAGUCUGAAGGCUGAUGCAUGGAGAAUAGAGCUUGGGCCUGAGGGAGUUGAUCCAAUACAUCAAACAUUUUCCUACUGCUCAAGGUUUAAGACUAGAAGACUUACAGUUUCUCACUGUGGCAUAACUACAUUAAAUUGGUAACGCCAUAUUACAUUGAAAAAUGGUAACACCGAAAGAUAUUUCUGUGGAACGUGCUUCUGUUGAUCCUUCUCAAGCAUCACCGACAGUAUGAGGGAAUACAAGGAAGUUAUCUGUAGAGCGAGUUGAUCUCAGAAAGUAGCCACCCUUCUGUUUACAUUGCUGAUACACCAUCAGGGUUACUCGCCUACCGCUUUAGCCAUAUAAAAUUGACAAGACGAGGAUGAUUUUGAUCCGAUUACAACAGAAAUUGUUAAACCAAAUGUUUUUAUGUGUAUACUGUCCGGCAGCUAGCAACUCCUGCAGAAACGUCAGUCCCUGCACUCUCACAGGGCACAGAUUUGGCGCCCUACAAAUUUGGCUCAUGUCUUAUUUGCUUUCACUAGGAGAGUGAUUAUGUCUAUUGGACUUUCCAGCAUUGUGCUCAUCGUAUUCUGGUGAUGCCAAAUCAGUCUGAUGACAUGUUAGCAGUGGAGUCGAGCAGGCCAUACAAGUUCUAAACAGUGACUGUGCCUUGGUAUUUGGAAGGUUCAUAAGCUGCUCACUCUUUGACAGCUUGGACACUGGAGGAUCACUAAGAAGAAAACCACCUUAGUGAUAAAAAUGGUGUUGUCACUUCAGGAUAGCGUCUUUCAGUUCCUUCUCUCUCGGGUCAUACUCCCUGAAUCAGUCAACAAGAUCAUGGAUUUCUUCAUCCGAUUCAUCACAACUAACAAAAUAUGAUGAAUUCGAACCUUUACAGUCAAAACUGGAGAGGAUAGCUCUUAACCAUACUAAUGUCUCUCUCCCUGUGUAUUACCAUGACAUUAUUCUUCACAAUACUUCCUAGUUGUUGCACAUUUGGUUAUGUUUCAUCUUUAUUUAUUUAUUUUUGAUUCCCAUGCAACCAAUUCCCUAUUGAUAAUUAUUUCAAUUUCAGUUUUUGGCUAAACGACAACUUGGACACUGGAGAAUCCACUAAGAGAAAAACUACCUCGGUGAUAAAAAUGCCGUCGCCACUCCAGGAGCGAGGAAGUGGCUUCAACACAAGAUCUUAGAUAUACACACUAAUUGGGGGCACCAUAGGAGCUCCCACAUUAAUCCUAGGUAAAGUCAGAAAAAAGAGAUCUGCCCAUUUAAUUCAACGGACCAAUAGGUUAGAUUUAAUGAUGUUUGGGCAUCUCGUUCCUGAAACCGGCUCUGCUCCUUCCCAAGGAAACAUGGUUUCUCAAUUAUAAAAACACUCGUGUGUUCCCCUCCUUCUUUCUCCUGUGUACCCUCCUUCGACAUACUAGCUAGAUUGCGUCAUUCUCCACCAGGUUUCCUUCUCUGACCCGGCAGCCAGUGCAACAUGCUACCAGGUCUGAUUCCAAGUUUCCAACAGCUUAUGCCAACUAUGGUUGUGUUGUGCUGUGCCGCUGGCAGGCAACCAGGCCCCAUCGUCGGCUGGCCGGACAUGUCUGCUGAGUUCUCCACAUCAGAGAAAGGGGAAAGAUAAAACACGCCAAGGAACAGGUAUGCUGGUCGGUUAUUUGUCUAAGAUUGAUGGGUUACCUAUAUUGAUUGCAGAUUUUUGGGUGUUUCUCAUCUAACAGAAAUAUUGUGUGUAACUCGGGUGUAGAUACCUUCGAUAAUGCCACAUCUUUCUCAUAACUAUUAGUCCAGGUUGUACCACUCGGUGGAAGGUGAUGCAAGUUCAGCUGCAUAUGAACUAAUUGGUGCAUCAUAUAUGACACACACUCCUGCAGAAUAGCAUAUCAAUCCUACAGUGCAUACACACAAGACACAUUAUCACAUAUAUCUCUUCCUUUGUCCUGUAUCCUCACCCUCUGUAGUUCCUCCACUAUAUGAUCGUUGCUCUUUCAGGUCAAGCCCUUCUCGUGAAAUCCUCAGGUAUAUUUCCAUAUUAUUGCAAAUAAGGUAAACACAAGAAGCUAGAAAUAUUCAUUCUAAAAAAAUGCUAUCCAUCAUCUGGCUGUUUAUUUAAUCUGUUAACCCUGUGUGGCUGUAAUUUCUCUAUCUUUUUCCGCUCCAUUGUUAUAAACGUUUAGUCUACAAAAUGCUACAUUUGUUCAGUCUGCCACUUAAAGUGUUAAUGGGAAGUAACCAAGGUUUGUGCAAUGCAAAUCAGUAGCAUAAAGAAAGUUUCGAGAUUUGGUCCAAGCAAGGUAUAUUGUGAUGCAAGAGUGCUUGAUGUAUAUUAUUAUAUGCUUUGUUGCUUUCAAAUCAGGUUUAUUUACUUUGUGACAUACUAACUGGGAGAUGUUAAUGUUUUCGAUUAUUUAUUCGUAGUCAGUUAUACAACUCAUAGAUCAUAGCUCAGGGCUAAAAUUAAUAUGUUAAUAUUCUUGUGCUCAGUGAGAACCAGAAUAAAAGGAUGAAAAUCUAGGAAUACACCUUUCGAAUUACUGAAAAAGACUUUCACCCCGCUUUUAUAUAUAAAGCAAUGAUCAACAGCACCAGGUACAAACGCAGAACCCCACAACAGACGCAAACACACAUCCGAGGCAGGAUACAUAGGCACUGAGCGCAGCAACACCAUCCCUAGCACUACACGAAGAGGUGAAACUGCAUAUGGCGAACCGUGGGCUCCAAGGCGGCGCCUUCAGGAAGGGGACGACACGGAGCACCGCCACCGCCCGAUCCGAGGAUCAGAGUUUCCCCUGGAACAACACGACAGGCAAUGAGAGCCGUGACGACGCCUUCAAGAAGGGAACGAGCUUCGCUGCCUUCGGUCCGUCCGAAGAUAGAGCAGGUUUUCACCCCGGCCACCAUUCACCGCCACCGAACGCCACACCCCGGCCCCACGCCGCCGACACAACCGUGGCAACCGGGCAGCACCAAGCCACGGCCCUGCCCAUGAGUCCCACGGACCCACCACCAGGGCGCC